rnacentral:rRNA from 1 species
AAGUCCCGCAAGGGAUGAGUAGAGUGGCAAACGGGUGAGUAACACGUGGGUGACCUGCCUUCGAGCGGGGGAUAACGUCCCGAAAGGGACGCUAAUACCGCAUGACAUCCUGCCUUUGAAGAGGUGGAGAUCAAAGCUGGGGAUCGCAAGACCUAGCACUUGAAGAGGGGCCCGCGUCUGAUUAGCUAGUUGGUGGGGUAACGGCUCACCAAGGCAACGAUCAGUAUCCGGCCUGAGAGGGCGGACGGACACACUGGGACUGAGACACGGCCCAGACUCCUACGGGAGGCAGCAGUGGGGAAUUGUUCGCAAUGGGCGCAAGCCUGACGACGCAACGCCGCGUGGAGGAUGAAGACCUUCGGG